GAAUAUUGGACAAUGGGCGAAAGCCUGAUCCAGCCAUGCCGCGUGUGUGAAGAAGGUCUUCGGAUUGUAAAGCACUUUAAGUUGGGAGGAAGGGCAGUAAGCGAAUACCUUGCUGUUUUGACGUUACCGACAGAAUAAGCACCGGCUAACUCUGUGCCAGCAGCCGCGGUAAUACGUAGGGUGCAAGCGUUAAUCGGAAUUACUGGGCGUAAAGCGUGCGCAGGCGGUUUUGUAAGACAGAGGUGAAAUCCCCGGGCUCAACCUGGGAACUGCCUUUGUGACUGCAAGGCUAGAGUGCGGCAGAGGGGGGUGGAAUUCCGCGUGUAGCAGUGAAAUGCGUAGAUAUAGGAAGGAACACCAGUGGCGAAGGCGACCACCUGGGCUAAUACUGACACUGAGGUGCGAAAGCGUGGGGAGCAAACAGG
rnacentral:rRNA from 1 species